GGAAAUAGAUAUGCACUUAUUAAAGCUAUUAUUAAAUAACAGUACAUUUAAAAUAACAUUAUUAAUGUCUCCUAUUUUGGAUUACAGUUUACAGAAUUAUAAUUAAUGUAUAUAUAAGACUAAUAUAUCCCAGUCUGUAAAAUGAUGUUUUUUUCCCUCUUCCUAUCCCCAUAAAUACACCCCUGUUUCUUCAUGAGCGAUCUCACACCCGCUGAGGUGGAGUGAGCUCUGAACUUUUAACGUCGCCAGAACUACAGAGAAGAGACUUCUGG